GAACGCUGGCGGCGUGCUUAACACAUGCAAGUCGAGCGGUAAGGCCCUUUCGGGGGUACACGAGCGGCGAACGGGUGAGUAACACGUGGGUGACCUGCCCUCAGCUCUGGGAUAAGCCUGGGAAACCGGGUCUAAUACCGGAUAUGACUCCAUGACGCAUGUUGUGGGGUGGAAAGCCUUGUGCGGCUGAGGAUGGGCCCGCGGCCUAUCAGCUUGUUGGUGGGGUGAUGGCCUACCAAGGCGACGACGGGUAGCCGGCCUGAGAGGGCGACCGGCCACACUGGGACUGAGACACGGCCCAGACUCCUACGGGAGGCAGCAGUGGGGAAUACUUGCGCAAUGGGCGAAAGCCUGACGCAGCGACGCCGCGUGAGGGA
rnacentral:rRNA from 1 species